UACGGGGGGGGCAAGCGUUGUUCGGAAUUACUGGGCGUAAAGGGCUCGUAGGCGGCCAACUAAGUCAGACGUGAAAUCCCUCGGCUUAACCGGGGAACUGCGUCUGAUACUGGAUGGCUUGAGAUUGGGAGAGGGAUGCGGAAUUCCAGGUGUAGCGGUGAAAUGCGUAGAUAUCAGGAGGAACACCGGUGGUGUAGACGGCUCACUGGACCGUAACUGACGCUGAGACACGAAAGCGUGGGUAGCAAACAGG
rnacentral:rRNA from 1 species